CCUACGGGUGGCAGCAGUGAGGAAUAUUGGUCAAUGGACGAGAGUCUGAACCAGCCAAGUAGCGUGAAGGAUGACUGCCCUAUGGGUUGUCAACUUCUUUUAUAAAUGAAUAAAACGAGGCACGUGUGCCUUUUUGCAUGUACUUUAUGAAUAAGGAUCGGCUAACUCCGUGCCAGCAGCCGCGGUAAUACGGAGGAUCCGAGCGUUAUCCGGAUUUAUUGGGUUUAAAGGGUGCGUAGAUGGGUUGUUAAGUCAGUUGUGAAAGGUUGCGGCUCAACCGGAAAAUUGCAAUUGAUACUGGCAGUCUUGAGUACAGUUGAGGUAGGCGGAAUUUGUGGUGUAGCGGUGAAAUGCUUAGAUAUCACGAAGAACCCCGAUUGCGAAGGCAGCUUACUAAACUGUGACUGACAUUGAUGCUCGAAAGUGUGGGUAUCAAACAGGAUUAGAUACCCGAGUAGUC
rnacentral:rRNA from 1 species